rnacentral:rRNA from 1 species
CGUCUUGGGCUACCACACGUCCUACAAUGCUACGGACAGAGGGCAGCAAGCUAGCGAUAGCAAGCAAAUCCCAUAAACCGUAGCUCAGUUCAGAUUGCAGGCUGCAACUCGCCUGCAUGAAGGCGGAAUCGCUAGUAAUCGCAGGUCAGCAUACUGCGGUGAAUACCGUUCCCGGGCCUU